rnacentral:rRNA from 1 species
GAUGAACGCUGACAGAAUGCUUAACACAUGCAAGUCAACUUGAACUUCGGUUUGGGUGGCGGACGGGUGAGUAACGCGUAAAGAACUUGCCUCACAGAUAGGGACAACAUUUGGAAACGAAUGCUAAUACCUGAUAUUAUGAUUAUAUGGCAUCGUAUAAUUAUGAAAGCUAUAUGCGCUGUGAGAGAGCUUUGCGUCCCAUUAGCUAGUUGGAGAGGUAACGGCUCACCAAGGCGAUGAUGGGUAGCCGGCCUGAGAGGGUGAUCGGCCACAAGGGGACGGAGACGCGCCCUUCACCCAGCGGGGAGCCAGCGGGGGGGAUUUUUGGACAAGGACCCAAGUGUUUGAUCAAGCAUUUGUUGGGGAAGAAAAAAGUUUUCGGGAAAGAAAAGGGUUUUAAGGGGGAAAAAAAAAAAGCACGGGCCCAAAAAAAAAGGGGACGGCUAACCCCGUC